rnacentral:rRNA from 1 species
GAGUUUGAUCCUGGCUCAGAUUGAACGCUGGCGGCAUGCCUUACACAUGCAAGUCGAACGGCAGCACGGGAGCAAUCCUGGUGGCGAGUGGCGAAUGGGUGAGUAAUACAUCGGAACGUGCCCAAUCGUGGGGGAUAACGCAGCGAAAGCUGUGCUAAUACCGCAUACGAUCUACGGAUGAAAGCAGGGGACCGCAAGGCCUUGCGCGAAUGGAGCGGCCGAUGGCAGAUUAGGUAGUUGGUGGGGUAAAGGCUCACCAAGCCAACGAUCUGUAGCUGGUCUGAGAGGACGACCAGCCACACUGGGACUGAGACACGGCCCAGACUCCUACGGGAGGCAGCAGUGGGGAAUUUUGGACAAUGGGCGCAAGCCUGAUCCAGCCAUGCCGCGUGCAGGAUGAAGGCCUUCGGUUGUAACU